GGAAGGCAGCUUUCAGCCUCCCCCUCAUCCUGUGCCCUCGUUCCCUAUAGUGUGUUUAUCUUUAAACGCUUUGAUCUAAAAUGAGCCGUUCGGUGCACUUCCAGAGUCCAGGCAUAAUUGUUUCUCUCUAUUUACGCUGUGUGUUAUUUUGUCAGAUGAAGUUUUGCUGCUGUUAAUACAGUAAGGGGAGGUCUUACUUUUCUCCUCCCGACGCCUGCCCCGACUUUGGGCUCCUGAAUCUCAGGUACUUUCGUGCAUGGUUUGAUCACAUCCUUUGCUCCACAGGAGUUUGCCCUUGAACCUGGUGCCCAAUGGGUUUGAGGUGACUCUUCUUGGUGACCCCUGUGAAAGGGAUCAAGACACACAGGUUGAGAACUGCUGGUCUAGAUCCUUGACUGCCUUCGUGUUGGCUUGAACACCUGAUAUGCUUGGGGCCAUUCUUGAGAGCUGAGCUUUUCUGGUUCCUACAGUGGCUGCGGCCCUGGAUUGGAGACAGUGAGCUGAGCGCCAACAUCCAUCUCUCUCUGCUCCCCGGCUGUGGACGAGGAUGACAUUGCCUCCUUCCUCUGCCACUUGACCUGCCUGGGCAUGACAGGUUGAACAUCCAGAAUCCAAAAAUACAAAAUAAAGCCUUCUUUCAAGCUUAA